rnacentral:rRNA from 1 species
AGUGAACGCUGGCGGUAGGCCUAACACAUGCAAGUCGAACGGCAGCACAGUAAGAGCUUGCUCUUACGGGUGGCGAGUGGCGGACGGGUGAGGAAUACAUCGGCAUCUACUUUUUCGUGGGGGAUAACGUAGGGAAACUGACGCUAAUACCGCAUACGACCUACGGGUGAAAGCAGGGGAUCUUCGGACCUUGCGCGAUUGAAUGAGCCGAUGUCGGAUUAGCUAGUUGGCGGGGUAAAGGCCCACCAAGGCGACGAUCCGUAGCUGGUCUGAGAGGAUGAUCCGCCACACUGGAACUGAGACACGGUCCAGACUCCUACGGGAGGCAGCAGUGGGGAAUAUUGGACAAUGGGCGCAAGCCUGAUCCAGCCAUACCGCGUGGGUGAAGAAGGCCUUCGGGUUGUAAAGCCCUUUUGUUGGGAAAGAAAAGCAGCAGGUUAAUACCCCGCUGUUCUGACGGUACCCAAAGAAUAAGCACCGGCUAACUUCGUG